rnacentral:rRNA from 1 species
AGCAGCCGCGGUAAUUCCAGCUCCAAUAGCGUAUAUUAAAGUUGUUGCAGUUAAAAAGCUCGUAGUUGAAUUUCGGGAUUAGUACGUUGGUCGUGCCUUAGGUACGUACUGGUGUUACUGGUUCCUACCUUCUGACGAACCAUCAUGUCAUUAAUUUGGUGUGGCGGGGGAUCAGGACUGUUACUUUGAAAAAAUUAGAGUGUUUAAAGCAGGCUCGCGCUUGAAUACAUUAGCAUGGAAUAAUGAAAUAGGACGUUGACCCUAUUUUGUUGGUUUCUAGGAUUGACGUAAUGAUUAAUAGGGAUAGUUGGGGGCAUUAGUAUUCAAUUGUCAGAGGUGAAAUUCUUGGAUUUAUUGAAGACUAACUACUGCGAAAGCAUUUGCCAAGGAUGUUUUCAUUAAUCAAGAACGAAAGUUAGGGAUCGAAGACGAUCAGAUACCGUCGUAGUCUUAACCAUAAACUAUGACCGACUAGGGAUCGGAUGAUGUUAUUUUUAUGACUCACUCGGCGCCUUACGGG